rnacentral:rRNA from 1 species
UACGUAGGGUGCGAGCGUUGUCCGGAAUUACUGGGCGUACAGAGCUCGUAGGUGGUUUGUCGCGUUGUCCGUGAAAACUCACAGCUCAACUGUGGGCGUGCGGGCGAUACGGGCAGACUGGAGUACUGCAGGGGAGACUGGAAUUCCUGGUGUAGCGGUGGAAUGCGCAGAUAUCAGGAGGAACACCGGUGGCGAAGGCGGGUCUCUGGGCAGUAACUGACGCUGAGGAGCGAAAGCGUGGGGAGCGAACAGG